rnacentral:rRNA from 1 species
UACGUAGGGGGCAAGCGUUGUCCGGAUUUAUUGGGCGUAAAGAGCGUGUAGGCGGCCAGAUAGGUCCGUUGUGAAAACUCGAGGCUCAACCUCGAGACGCCGAUGGAAACCAUUUGGCUAGAGUCCGGAAGAGGAGAGUGGAAUUCCUGGUGUAGCGGUGAAAUGCGCAGAUAUCAGGAGGAACACCGAUUGCGAAGGCAGCUCGCUGGGACGUUACUGACGCUGAGACGCGAAAGCGUGGGGAGCAAACAGG